rnacentral:rRNA from 1 species
GGGUUGUGAGGUUAAGCGAAUAAGCGUACACGGUGGAUGCCUAGGCAAUCAGAGGCGAUGAAGGACGUGCUAAUCUGCGAAAAGCGUCG